CUUUACAUGAAUUAGAAGAAAAUACAAACGACAACAACAACAAAAAAACAAAGCCAAGAAACUAAAAGGUCAGGGUAGAAGCAACAAAAGCUAAAUGUUUGUUCACGGUGCUUGAUUCUUGUUCUGGGAUGCUAAAUACUCCGCAAUUUAUAAACUAACAGGAGUUUCUCCAGGUCUUGCUCCGAUAUUUAAUUAUGAAGUAAUAGGUACUCCAUAAUCCUUAAUGUAACAGGAGUUUCUCAAUUAGUGAGGUAUAAAACUAAAUAUUGGCUCCAUGUGUACAUUAUCCAAGGCUUCGGGCUCUGGUAGUGUCUCUAAAGACAAUUUGAUCUAGGGAAGGAGUCAAAAUGAGAGUAAAUCAAACGCCUCAAUGAAAAUAGUGGGGUUUGAUAACAAAUGGGGGUUUGAAAAGGUAGAUGGGAAUGAAGUUGGGAAAAUGUACCUGCAAACUCAGUUAAGCCUUGGUUCCUAGGGAGGGAGUGAAGGUAGGUAGAACAGGAAGUGGAUCCAGAACGGUUUGCAGUAAUGCAGGUGGACAUCUUGAGGGCUCUCAGAGUAACGUUGCUGCUCCUCAAAGGAGCUGGGUAACCCGGAGGCAUCCUCAUCAGGCAUUUGAGGAGGAUGCCUCCCAGUCACCCUGCCAACACAUGUGAGAUUUUCACAUGUGACACCCCGAGGCGGGCCCAGAACACACUGAAGGGACUAUCGAUCUCAUCUGGAUUUUAAAACGCCUCGAGAUCCGCAGAACCAGCUGAAGAAUGUUAAUGGGGAGAGUGAUAUCUUGGUUUCCUUUUGAUAGGUAGAAAAUGGAUUGCUGGCUAGAUGGUGUAAGUUAUUCGCACUCGGGUAUCAAAAAUGUCAGAAUGACUGUGGCAAGAAAAACGUUGAUGAUGUAUUUUUAAUGCAAACUUGCAGUGCAAUAUUUGUAGACAAAUGGCUUUUUUGAUGUGUUUAUAUAUUUACACAAUUCUUUCUUUGUGUAUGGCUCAGAUUGAUAGAUUCACAAACAAAAUGUAAUUCUUUAAUUACAUUUUAUCCUCACUUCUCUUGGCACUUCCACAAAUGCCACAAAAUAUUGUAAUUGGAUUUUAAUUCUGCAUCGCUCCUCCCUGCUUGUCUGUUAAUGUCCUUCGUCCAAAUAAACAAGUGAUAUAUAGAUGUUGAAUGAUACUAUUUUUGUAUUCAUGAAAAGCUUGAUUUCUUCACAUUUUGAUCCACAAAAAAAAAACCAUUUUUGAAUUCACCAAAUUGCGUAGAAAGCGACGCCGUUGUAGUAGCUUUUAGUCGUCAGGAUUUAAAAGCUUCUAAAAUGGUGGGGAGAUGCAAAAGUAAAAGAACAAGCCGUUUUUGAUCUUUGACAAUAUUGCACAAUAUCAUGUGCUUCUAACAUGUUGCAGCUCUUUUGAAUUGAUAGCUUGAAUAACCGUUGAAAUCUAACUUCACUGACAUAUGUUUAUCAGAAAAGCACAUUGUGUGGAGCGGUGCGUGUUCUAGUCGUAGACCGACCGCCUCAUAUAAAGGAGGCUAUUCGACCUCAUUGCAACCGUCUGGAUUUGAUUCCUGACUUUGGGGAUGACCUUCUGUUGCAUGUCAUCCCCUCUUGUUUCCCUGUUGCAUUCCUAUGCAACAGGGAAACAAAUUAUCUGGAGUGUUUCUUAUUACGUGUCUCCGAUUUAGCAGCUGUUUGAGAAUAGUUUUAAGACAAAGCACAUUAACUGGGGCUUCAUACAAAUUUGCUUACCGAAAGCAACAAUGCGGUGACAGGUGAAGCAUCUAUCAGGAUACUUUUAUUCCCGAGUGAGCCAUGAUCAGCAUCGAUAUGGGGAGCAGCUCCUCUCUAAUGGUGGCACGUCUCUGUGGUGCAUUUUGUUGUUUUUACUUAGCCGCGAGGAUAAGUGCGAUAUUUGGUGUGCAACAGAAAGAUGUUGCUCGGAUAAUGUUGAAGUGGAAAAACUGGUCGUCUGCUCUUAAGCUUUUCUGCACGCAUCGUAUUGGAGCAAGAGAUCCUUUAAAUAGACUUUCUGGAAUCAUUUUUUGCUCCGUGCAGGAAUUUUUUUGUCUUUUAAUAUUCCACAUGUUGGCAUCCUGAAUUCCAAACUGUUUGAUGAGUAAGUAGCUUAUUUACACCUUAUUUUGACUCUUGUUCUCUGCAGCUCUGCCGACAGAUGAAGGCCCUCCUCUGCCAUGCAUGAAGAUGCGUGUCACAAUAUGCUGUGAGCCCACAUCAGAGGGCUCAAAACGAAUACAAGGAUCAAAACCUCGCAGCAGUGUUGUCUCACUGAGGACCACUUCUCUUCCGCUCCUCAUCUCCAUCCUCUUACCGCUGAUCACCUGACUCAUCUGUCCUCAGUGCCUGCCUGUGCUCCAUGGCUGCAGUCUCUGACAUCUAAAGGAAGAAUAAAACUGUGCUAACGGACAACAAAUGGCAAAGUGCAAUCUCUGCCGGACUAAGCCAGCGACAUUAACGACUGUGGUUAAAAAUCCAGGCAGGACGAUGGUUUCUCCGGACCACAGUGACUCAGGGAAAUGACGCUGAAGUGCAGCAAAGCAUUUCUUCCCGUUUUCUUGCUCUACCUGUUGCCUGUUGUACAACUACUCAGACAAAAUGUUCUCCAUACGGGAGCCAUCUUAAGACUCCUAUCUCACUUCGAAGCCAGAAGAACAAUAAAAGAA